rnacentral:rRNA from 1 species
GAUGAACGCUGGCGGCGUGCUUAACACAUGCAAGUCGAGCGAACGGACGCGAAGCUUGCUUCUUUCAUGUUAGCGGCGGGCGGGUGAGUCACACGUGGAUAACCUCCCUAUAAGUCUGAGAUAUCUACGGGAAUCCGGCUCUUACACCGGAUAAUAUUCUGAACCGCAUGGUUCAUAAGUGAAAUACGGCCUUGCUGUCUCUUCUAGAUGCAUCUGCGCUGGAUUAGCUAGUUGGUGGGGUAACGGCUUACGAAGGCGACGAUGCAUAGCCGACCUGAGAGGGUGGUCGGCCGCACUGGAACUGAGACACGGUCCAGACUCCUACGGGAGGCAGCAGUAGGGAAUCUUGCGCAGUGGGCGAAAGCAUGACGGAGCGACGCCGCGUGAGUGAUGAAGGUCUUCGGAUCGUAAAGCUCUGUUAUUAGGGAAGAACAGAUGUGUAAGUAGAUGUACACAGCUUGACGGUACCGGAUCAGGAAGCCACGGCUAACUACGUG